CACGUAGGGUGCGAGCGUUGUCCGGAAUUAUUGGGCGUAAAGAGCUCGUAGGCGGUGUGUCGCGUCGGCCGUGAAAACUUUCAGCUUAACUGGGAGCUUGCGGUCGAUACGGGCAUCACUGGAGUUCGGCAGGGGAGACUGGAAUUCCUGGUGUAGCGGUGAGAUGCGCAGAUAUCAGGAGGAACACCGGUGGCGAAGGCGGGUCUCUGGGCCGAUACUGACGCUGAGGAGCGAAAGCGUGGGGAGCGAACAGG
rnacentral:rRNA from 1 species